rnacentral:rRNA from 1 species
GUCUGAUGCAGCAACGCCGCGUGGAGGAUGACACAUUUCGGUGCGUAAACUCCUUUUAUAUGAGAAGAUAAUGACGGUAUUAUAUGAAUAAGCACCGGCUAACUCCGUGCCAGCAGCCGCGGUAAUACGGGGGGUGCAAGCGUUACUCGGAAUCACUGGGCGUAAAGAGCAUGUAGGCGGAUUAAUAAGUUUGAAGUGAAAUCCUAUAGCUUAACUAUAGAACUGCUUUGAAAACUGUUAAUCUAGAAUGUGGGAGAGGUAGAUGGAAUUUCUGGUGUAGGGGUAAAAUCCGUAGAGAUCAGAAGGAAUACCGAUUGCGAAGGCGAUCUACUGGAACAUUAUUGACGCUGAGAUGCGAAAGCGUGGGGAGCAAACAGGAUUAGAUACCCUGGUAGUCCACGCCCUAAACGAUGUACACUAGUUGUUGUGAGACUUGAUCUUGCAGUAAUGCAGUUAACACAUUAAGUGUACCGCCUGGGGAGUACGGUCGCAAGAUUAAAACUCAAAGGAAUAGACGGGGACCCGCACAAGCGGUGGAGCAUGUGGUUUAAUUCGACGAUACACGAAGAACCUUACCUGGACUUGACAUAGUAAGAACUUUCUAGAGAUAGAUUGGUGUCUGCUUG